GCCCCGCGGUCUCGGCUUCUUGGCCUCGGUCCCACGCUGGGUCUGCAGCACGUAGGGUUGCUGUAGUCUUGGCGCCCAAAGCUCUCCCAGUGCAGCCCUGUAGACACUUCGUGAGUAAUUUCGGUUGGAGAAAUUCUGACACGUGGGUGAGCGGUAGUAACUGGUUUAAUAGGUUCCGUGAGGAAUGGGAAAACAACUUCCGCAGCAGGUGGCGCUGUGACAUCAGCCAUCACAGAGGCUGGCUUUCCAGGCUAGGGCUGCGGAGUACUGCAUUUCUGUGCCCUUGGCUGGGGCUCUCGCCCUAGUCAGUCCUGAAAGGAUGCGCUGCGUAGUCUGUUCACGCUGCGAUCCCGCAGAUUACACCACGCAGCGUAGGGUAUCCGGCUGCACUGGGAGAUGCGUUUCACAGAACGUACUUACUGGACAGUCUGUCCCCCAUCUGGUGCCACAAAAUAUGAAAUAAGUAAAAUUAUUACCACUCGUUUUGUAUUAUCAGGUGAACGACCUGAUAGCGAAGACUUUGUCUGAAAUUUUUUUUUUUUAUUGUCUGUUGUUCGUAUUCAUGUCUAACUUUUAUCCUCAGGCUUCUUUAUUUUCACAUGGUGUUUUCUCCUUGGAAACUCCUUGACUCCAUUGAUUCACCAUUAGUUCUGCAAACCAAACUCUGUCACCAGCAUUCCCACGCAACAGCCUCACACUUAAGCUGUCAGAAAUUGGACUCAUCAUUUUCUCUUCACCCAAAACAACUUACCCUCUCAUUUCCUGAUUAAUGUUAGUGAUCUCCCCAUCUUUCCUGUUCCUCAGAAUUAUCUUCAACUCUUUGCUUCCCUCCACUAUCUCACAAUUCACUCUUUCCCUAAGUCCUUCCUAUGUUAUUUCUGUCAAGGGCUUGAAUCUCUUCAAACUAUUUCUCGGGCACCUACUAUGUGCGGGACCUUGUAGGAUGCAGGAGACGUGGUGGUUUGGUACGCGUCAGUGGUUUCAUCCUUUUGGCAAGUGUGACUCCUCCCAGGUGCUGAGUGAGCAGGCAGUUCUGCCUCACCGCACAUGGUGAUUACCUGGGACGUUUUGGAGAAAAGUAUGGGUCCCGGGCUUCUCUCACAGCUUCUCUGAUUCAGUAGCUCUGCAGAGGGGCUGAGGACAAUGGGUGUUUUUGUUUCUUAUUUUGUUUGUUUCUUUGUUUAUUGUACUGAGGGCUGAACCAACGAUCUUCACACUCAACUACAUACUUGGCCCUCUUAAAAUUUUUAAGAUAGUCCUUCUAAGUUGCUCUGGCUGGCCUUGAACUUGGGAUCCACCUGCCUCAACCUCUCAAAGUGCUGGUAUACAGGCAUGUGCCACCUCAACCGGCUGAUGCUGUGUGUGUGUGUUAACAACACUUGGCAGAAGUGAUGGACGAGAAGCAGGGAGGAACUCCUGGGAUGGAUGAAGGGGUCUCACAGUCGCCCUCGGAGGGGGUGGCCAGGCAAGUGCCGCUCCAGUCCCUCACAGUGGAGAGCUGGAGCAGCCUCAGGUCCAGUGGAGAUCCCAUCGAGCAGUGGGAGGGGUGAGCUGGGCAUACCAGAACCUGCAACAUGUUCUGUUGAUGUCCAUUUGCUGACUUGGGCCAAAGCGAGGGAGCUGGGCAGAAGCACAGGAACAAGGCAGGCGCGGUGAGGGAAAGGGGCAGGUGAAGGCCACCUGGCUUUCUUCUGAUCUGCUCCAGCCCUAGUCCCUUGUGUUCUAGGCCAUCUUCUCGUGUUGCUGCAAACGCCUGACAGAGCUCCAAAGCAAAAUGCUGUGACCACCUUCCUUUCCCCGUGUCCUAGAAUUAUCCUUUCCCUUUGUUAAGGGUGUAUGGUUUGCUCAGGGCCUGCCCAUGCUGGGUAAGCAGGAGCAGCUCAGAGGCCCAUGGGUGGCCUUCUGUCCUUGGCCUUGCACAGAGAAAUCAGGGAAGGAAGGACCAGUGGCUCCCAGAAAUUUUCCUAGUGUUGUGGCUUUCUAAGACUAGCCCAGCUUAUUUUAUGGAUGCCACUCAAACACAGGGUUAUUUAAAAAUAUUACAUAGAGGCUGGGGAUUUAGCGCAGUGGUUUUGCUGCCUGCUUCGCAAGCACAAGGACCCGAGUUCGAUCCCCCGGUACCAAAAAACAAAAGAAUAAGUUUCUUGUUUCCACAUUCAAGACCCUUUUAAUCCAAAAUACAUGGAGACAUGCUUUCAAGAGCCAGUGUCUCCUGUCUCUAUGACACAUCCAUAGGGAGGAAUCUUUACCCAAAUAUUAACAUGAAGGAAGUGAAAAAAUACUUUAGAAAAAUUUUAGAAACCAGAAAAUGAAAUAAGGGCAAUCUUAAUAUCAUAAUGAUACCUGGCAUUUUUAUAAUGUCUCCAUUAAGAUUGUGAAAGAUCAGACUCAGGGAGAACAGUUGAUUUAUUGAAAUAAAUUUAAAACAAUCAUUAGAUGUGUCUCAGCCUACAACAAGCCAAUUUAUGUGGAGAUGAGCUCAGGGAAGGCACUGAGAGUGCCAGGAUGUGGCUAUGGGUGGAUUCAGUGUUAAAAUCCUCCUGAAAUUUCUUUGAGGUCUCUAAUUCACAUCAUGAGAGUGUGGUAACAGAGUUUGACCAGGUUCUUCUUACUUUGAAUUCAAUAGCUAUCUGGAGAAAAAGCUCUCUGAGCUUCUUUACUAAUCCAAAUUUCCUCUUGAAGCUUCGAGAAAAACAUUUCCAUUUUCAGCUUUUCAAAUUCCUUAAAUUUUUUGUGUCAGUCAGUGGUUAUUGGGUAAUGUAAGCCUCAUAAAUAUUCCAAAUUAAUUUUAGAAACUUAAGAUCCAAUAUUAGCAUGUGGAAUAUGUUGCUAGAGAAUGGUAGGUUGAUGUUUCUAGAGAGCUGGAAGAACGGGGGGAAUCUAUUCUUAGGUUAUGAUUCUUAAGCUUAGACUCUGAACUGUCAAUGGAGAUUGAGAUCAGUACUUAUUCCUCUUUUGGGUCCUUAUAUUUUGCUUUACCAAAAGACCAGAUGAGAAAAGGGUCUCAAAGUGGAAAUAAGGAAGCAUGUUUUUUACAUAAACCUCAACGCUUGGUCAUAUAUGCUAUCAAAGGCUGAGAAAGAAUUUUAGAACUUAGUUUAUUGUACUUGUCUUCCAAUUAAGCUGCAAUUAGCCAGACUACUGUAUAAUUUAAAAGAUACAUUUGUUAUCUUUGGGAACUUGAGGUUACUAAAUCAUUAACAGCUGUCAAGAUGGAAAAGACCAAUUGUCUUUGGAGGUUAGUUCUUUGCAGUGGAAGAAUUUGGAUUUUCUGGUUCAGCCCAUCUGAUGAGAAGAAUAACUCACAAACACGUUAGCUGGUUGUACAGAAUGAAUAAUUUUACCAGAGUAUGAUAUUAUUAAGAGUGAAGCUAAAUUUAAGAGGCUUAAAUUUUUUCAUCAGCUGAAAAAAAUAGUUAAAUAAAGAACAUAAAGCCAGGCAUGGUGGUACACUCCUGUGAUCCCAGCACUUUAGGAACCUGAGGCAGAAGGAUAGCAAGUUCAAGUCCAGGCUGGGCAGCUUAGUGACCUCCUAGUAAGACCUCGUUUCAAAAUUUAAAAAGGGCAUGAGGUCCUGAGUUCAAUCCUCAGUACUCAAAAAAACCAAAAAAGUCACAAUGACUGUCUCCUUUCUUCCUGAUGCCAAUUGAGGGGACACCCUGCACCACUUCUGUAACUGCCUCGUGUACUGUGCUAUGUGAUCGCCUUGCUGCCCUGUGAACAGGUUUUGCUUUCUUGACUGAUAUUAUAAAUUGCUUCAUGUUCAUGUCUCAAAUUUAAUUUUAAUAUUUAACUUUAAUGUCUUAGCAAUAUUUACAAUUCAUAACAUUUUAGUAAAAUAUAUUGUAUCUAUGUAUAGUAAAAUAUAUUGUAUUGUAUGUAUAAAUCUGUAAGUAUUUAUUAAGUGUAUUGUUUUCAGUGCUUCAGAUAACAGCAGAUUAAAAAAAAAUCCUAGGGCCGGGGAUUUAGCUCAGUGGUUCCAUUGCCUCCCCCUGCAAGCACAAGCACCCGAGUUUGCUCCCCAGUACCAAAACAAAACAAAACAAAACCCAAAACAAACAAAAAAAUCCUUCCCUUUAUCUUCAUAGACUUUACAUAAAGUUCACUUUAACAAAUAUAUCAUUAUGUGAUUAUUGAAAUUUUAUGAGAUCAUGAUCCCUCAGUUCCAUUAAGAGAUAUGGUGACCAAGUUAUAUGUCUAUAUUUUCUAUUUCUUAUAUGUCUAUGUCUGUAUUUUCUAUUUGAAGAAACUUAAAUUCAAGACUGAUAAAUUCAUAUUUAAUUGGAAAGGAAAUAGGGAGUCUGGUUGUUUUGUACUGUUUCACACUGUUGUGCAAGGGAUGGAACCUAGGGCUUGUGAGCCUGAAUCACGGGCUCCUCUGUGAAGCCCCACCCCCAGAGCCCUGGAGGACCUCAUGAGGACAGCACUGUCCCUCAGGCCACAGGACAGUAGCAUGUAGAUGGUCUCCACCACCGUGUUUCCUGGCUCAUUAUCACAAGGUCGCUCUUCUAGUAUACUAUUUCCUUCUGAGUCCAUCACUUACCUGGACUUGCCAAAUCUCUGAGAGCCCCCAGUUUCAAGCCUCCCACUUGGAGAUGCCUAGGGCCCUGCAGGUGGCCAUGGUGAGCAGCCAUGAGCUUGUCCCCACCCGGCACAAACCUAGCAACUGUCACUUCAUCAGAGUGCAUCCCUGACUACUCAGCCUAACAUAGCAGACGCCUCUCAUUCCCUUAACCUGUCUUAUAUUUGUUUGCAGCCCCUGUCACCAAUUGAUAUGAUAUAAUAUUUGCUUUAUUGCCUCUUUCUUUCCACUAAAAAGAAAACUUGACAGCAGGGUCUCUGUUCAUUGUGUUGAAUAGGGCCUGGCAAAUAGUAUAUGCUCAGAAUCUAUCAAUUGAACGAAUGACCACUUUGCUCUGCACAUUCAGCCUGCGAACACCAUGGGAUGCUGUGCCGUUGCCUGGCAACCAACUUUGGGGAUAUAUAUCUGAUCAAAGUUUACUUUCGGUAUUUCCUUGUAGUUUUAUAUAGUUUUGUGGUCAGAGUUAAAGAUAGCUUGCCGUGUAAGGAGGACAAGAGGGAGAGUGUGAUGAAGAGGCUUCCAAUAUCCACAAUGAGAUGACAGAGAAUUAGAUACCAAUGCUGUACUAUUGGGUAAUUAACCUAGUAAAGCAAAGUAGGUGAGAGCCACAGGAAAAGUAGAUAUGUGCAUAUGCUUUCUGACCCUGGGGGAUACAUAAUUAAGCAAUGGGGUUCCUGGAUUUUGGUAAACAGAAUUUCCUCUGUGCUGUUUGUAAAAGAUGAAACGGUGUUCUAAAUUUUGACUUAUCUUUGUUUCUCAGGGGAUGAAUUUGUUCCUGUUAACCCUGUAGGUUAGCCAUUCCUUGUAAACUACAGCUGCAGUGGUUACCAUCCAAGUGUGGUUGACACUCCAGUCCUUCUUGCAAAACAUUCAGUAAAUAUUUGGGCCUUGGACUUAGCUAGUUUUGCAAAUUCUAUCAUUGUUUACCAAGUGGAGGUCAGGGCUCUACCACUCCACGUAAUGGACUCAUAGCAAUUGACCUUUGAAGAAGGUGGGCAUCUUUCAUAGAGGAUGCAAGGUCCCUCAAGAUGUCAACAAAAAGCCUUUACAAGAACCCAUUCUAUGUAGCUUUAACUUAGGACUAUAGUGCAAUCACACUAGGGCAACAAACCACCUCAAGCAGUUAGAAUGUAAAAUAAAGAUCCCAAUCUCAUAGAUAUUUUGUUUGUCUUCAUUCCAAAGUGCAGGAUAAAGCAAGUGUGACUUUAAUCAGGAUAAGAUGAAUUGUUUUGUAGCUGAAAUAACAUUUUUCAUUUUUCUUACCCUCUCUUUGGGAAUGUAUACUUUGUUGCAAAAACAGUUUGCAUGGAAAAACAAGGAGGCCUUUUGUCAGAGAGCUGCCCCUUGGCACCAUAAGCCCACCUCUCCUGCAAAGCUUAGAAGCUUCCUUUCCUAGAGCAUCUCCUUGGAAGUAUAACUUGACCCUUCUGUAAGUUCGCUUUUGACCCAGCCAGUGGCUGCUGUCCUGUCGUCCCUCUUCCUUGUGCCUCUGGGUUUUCUGUCUUUGAUUUACAUAAUAAAAGUAAAAGCACAUUGUUUGUAGACUACCAACAAAACAUUUUCACUUUCCAUCAGCUAUUUUUAUCCACAAAGCAAAUACUCUGACAAUGUUGGUGUCCCGAAGGGGUAUUUUCACUGUGAGAGUGUACUGGUUUUCAGUCUGCCAGCAAAUCAUUUGCUUUUUGCCUCAUUUGAGGAAAUCCAGUUCUGAGGAGUCAGGCCACAGAUUUAGCUUAGACUAUGAAUGGUUUACUUAAAAAAGGCCCUUCAUUAUCAGAAUCCUUGGAGCUUCCUACCCCAUAUGGGCUUCUUGCUAUAACCUACUGAGAGAAUUCAACUCAUCAGGAGCUAUUGAAUUCAAAUCACGAGGUCAGCAUGGAAAUCUGCUUCCAUCUUAAACUGAACUGAAAACAAGCUAAUCAUAAAAAAUUAAAACAUAUGUCUGAGAAAGACUGUAAAAGAUCAUCUAACCAACUUUAACCCAAAAGAGGAGAUAGAUGGAUAGAUUUAAAUAUAUGUUCAUACAAUCACGCACACAUUUAUACACAUAUACAUAUUAUUUUUUAAAUCAAUAAACUUUGCUAAAACCCUGUUCAAUCAGAGCACAACUUUGAUUCUCAGGACACUUUGUCUCUGUGCAUCAUUUUAGAUGAAGAACUGCUUUGUACUUGGCAAGUGUGGGUUUGGGCCUGAUGGAAUUAAAUCCCUGUUCUGGCACAGCGACUUUGCUUAUAUCACAAAAUCCCUCCAUGUCUCUCCUCAUUUAUAAGAUCAUAUUUCCCUCCUACGUUUGUUAUAGGAUUAAAUGAGAGAAUACACAAAACAAAAAUAACUAAAGUGCACUGCAACGUGUCUUCAAAAUCGAGCUGUCUACCGCUGCUUCAGGACUAGAUCAUUUAUCACUAGUGCUAUGGAUCAAACCUUGGGCCUUACACAUACUAGGUAAGUGCUCUACCACCAAGCUACAACUCCAGCCCAAACAUUUAUCUUUGUUUUCAAUUCAAAACAUAAAUAUGCCUUUGAAAAGACUUAGAAUCAAACAUUCAGGUGUUAGUGUUUCCUUCAGACUGGAUAUAUUUCUCCUACUAAGGUAGUUCAUCGACUUUCACAGUAAGUUUGCAAUCAGAGGAGGAAAUGAGUGAUCAUAAAAGUCAAGGACAUUAAUAACGGUGUUAACGUACAAUUGUAAAUUAUCAGCAGGUGAUGACAGAGAUCUUUCCCUGUCACACAAAGAAGCUCUGGGGUCAGGACAAAAACGUGGCCUUUCUCUGACAUCUCAGGUAGUCUCUUUUCCUCUCACUGAAGGUCAAAUAUUUGGGAGGUAGAUUUUCCCAGCCCCUGCCUUCCAUACCCAGGUUUUCCUCUGAGAAAACAAGAGGGCUUGGGCCCCUUUCCCUCGGUGGCAGUGGGGUGCCCUGUCAGAUGGUUCUUCCUGUCAGAGAGACAGUGAAGCUGGAAAGCUAAGUAGGAAGGGAGAGCCUAGAAUAUGGCCACAGAGAGGGGCAGGGAUACAUAUCUGGCCUCAUCUUCUUCUGGGAAUAUGGAAUUGGUCUAUGGGGGAAGACAAAGCCACCUACUCCUAUAGCCACAGGUUAAAAAUAAUUAAUGUUACCUCACCCUCGGGCUAAGAAAGGUCUUUAGUAAUUGGGGUGGGGGUGGAAGGCCCAUUGUAAGCAUGGCUGGGUUUGUUCUAGUAGAGGUCAGAGCUCUGUGUUUGC